ACUCCUACGGGAGGCAGCAGUAGGGAAUUUUCCACAAUGGACGAAAGUCUGAUGGAGCAACGCCGCGUGCAGGAUGAAUGCUUUCGGGUUGUAAACUGCUUUUAUAUGUGAAGAUUUUGACGGUAACAUAUGAAUAAGGAUCGGCUAACUCCGUGCCAGCAGCCGCGGUCAUACGGAGGAUCCAAGCGUUAUCCGGAAUUACUGGGCGUAAAGAGUUGCGUAGGUGGCAUAGUAAGUUAGUAGUGAAAGCGUGCGGCUCAACCGCAUAAACAUUACUAAAACUGCUAAGCUAGAGGACGAGAGAGGUAAUUAGAAUUCCCAGUGUAGGAGUGAAAUCCGUAGAUAUUGGGAGGAAUACCGAUGGCGUAGGCAGAUUACUGGCUCGUUCCUGACACUAAGGCACGAAAGCGUGGGUAGCAAACGGGAUUAGAAACCCCAGUAGUCC
rnacentral:rRNA from 1 species